rfam:Schizopora paradoxa strain KTC8140 unplaced genomic scaffold SCHPAscaffold_00131, whole genome shotgun sequence.
GGCCGGUUAGCUCAGUUGGUUAGAGCGUGGUACUAAUAUUUCUUAGAUUCUAUGCCAAGGUCAUGAGUUCGACCCUCAUACUGGCCA